rnacentral:rRNA from 1 species
CAGUCGCCGCGGUAAUACGUAGGGGGCAAGCGUUAUCCGGAAUAACUGGGCGUAAAGGGUGCGCAGGUGGUUUAACAAGUUAGUGGUGAAAGGCAUAGGCUCAACCAAUGUAAGCCAUUAAAACUGUUUAACUUGAGUGCAGGAGAGGAAAGUGGAAUUCCUAGUGUAGCGGUGAAAUGCGUAGAUAUUAGGAGGAAUACCAGUGGCGAAGGCGACUUUCUGGACUGCAACUGACACUGAGGCACGAGAGCGUGGGGAGCAAACAGGAUUAGAUACCCCAGUAGUCCCUGUCUCUUAUACA